rnacentral:rRNA from 1 species
GUAAGGAAUAUUGGUCAAUGGAGGCAACUCUGAACCAGCCAUGCCGCGUGCAGGAAGACGGCCCUCUGGGUUGUAAACUGCUUUUAUCUAGGAAUAAACCUACUUACGUGUAAGUAGCUGAAUGUACUAGAAGAAUAAGGAUCGGCUAACUCCGUGCCAGCAGCCGCGGUAAUACGGAGGAUCCAAGCGUUAUCCGGAUUUAUUGGGUUUAAAGGGUGCGUAGGCGGCCUAUUAAGUCAGGGGUGAAAGACGGUAGCUCAACUAUCGCAGUGCCCUUGAUACUGAUGGGCUUGAAUGAACUAGAGGUAGGCGGAAUGUGACAAGUAGCGGUGAAAUGUUUAGAUAUGUCACAGAACACCGAUUGCGAAGGCAGCUUACUAUGGUUUUAUUGACGCUGAGGCACGAAAGCGUGGGGAUCAAACAGGAUUAGAAACCCGUGUAGUCC